GUGGGAGUAGCCGAGUGGUUAAGGCGUCUGACUGUGGCUCAGAAGACCGAGGGUUCGACUCCCUUCUCCCACCCCA
rnacentral:tRNA from 1 species